rnacentral:lncRNA from 1 species
GACUUUUUCUUAUGAUAAUAACUAUGCCUUUUGACUGAAAUCAUCCAGUAUUCCAUCAUAAAGUUGCAGGUCCUUCUAGUUGUGGGAUGUGGGACGCAGCCUCAACGUGGCCUGACGAGCAGUGCCAUGUCCGCGCCCAGGAUCCAAACCCCGGUCCGCCGCAGCAGAGCGAAACUGCCUCCAGUGCCAGUGCCAUUGGGUUAUAGCAGAAUAGCCUGUGCAGUUCGUGAGACUCCAUCGAGGGAUUAGAGCUCAGUGAUGAUCUUUCUGACACGUGGAUUUGGGGACUUGUCUGACCAUUUAAGUGUGCUGUUACAUCUGUGACUUUCCAGCAGUGUGCCUGUGACCAUGGAGACACCCUCAUGGAGCAUCAAUUGAGACAAGUACUACAGGAUCCACUCUGGGAGCUCCGGUCAGACUUGUAAAGGCACAUCCACAGCACAGAUGUGGAGUAUCCCUCCCAAGGGGUGCAGCUAAGCAGAUCAAGCCGCUGCCUACAGCUGGGUUUUCCAUCUAGUCACUGGGUCGCAACAAGCUAACUUCAGCUGCCACCACUCAGAGGCCAAUGAGGAGAGUCUAUAAAAUUCCCCUCAAGUUCUCUUUGUUAGUGAUCUAACACGCAGGUCCUCUGGCUCGUAUUGUGUCUAGUCCUCACAAAGCCCUAUGGUGUAGAUGUAUCACCCUCCCUCCUUUUUAGAGAUGGGCAAACUGAGGCUCUGGAAGACGGAAACUUACCUAAGGCGACACUCUCGAAGUGGGUCUUCCAGAUCACCAGGCAGCUGUCCUCCAAGUGGUGAUGUGAGACCAAGCUCCUUCUACCUGAUGACUCCACCAUCUUCAACUCUGGCCCCCCGGGUCAUCCUGGAGCCCAAUAUCCACCAGCAGAGCAAGAGGAGAGGACAUAGAAGUGUGCAAGGAGGUUUUUAUGGGCCAGGCCUGAAGCUGCAUACAUUACUUCUACACCCAUUCCACUGUCCAGAACUCAGUCUCACGGUUGCAUCUCACUACUGGGAAGACUGGGAAACAUAGUCCAGCAGUCACUGCCCCAGCC